AUACGGCGAUACCACGUUGAAACAUCGGUUCUCGUACGGUCACCGAAGUUAAACAACGUAGAACCUGGUCAAUACUUAGAUGGGUGAUCGUUUGGGAAUACCA